rnacentral:rRNA from 1 species
UACGUAGGGUGCAAGCGUUAAUCGGAAUACUGGGCGUAAAGCGUGCGCAGGCGGUGAUGUAAGACAGGUGUGAAAUCCCCGGGCUCAACCUGGGAACUGCAUUUGUGACUGUAGAGCUGGAGUGCGGCAGAGGGGGAUGGAAUUCCGCGUGUAGCAGUGAAAUGCGUAGAUAUGCGGAGGAACACCGAUGGCGAAGGCAGCCCCCUGGGCUAACACUGACGCUGAGGCACGAAAGCGUGGGGAGCAAACAGGAUUA